rnacentral:rRNA from 1 species
AACGAACGCUGGCGGCAGGCUUAACACAUGCAAGUCGAACGCCCCGCAAGGGGAGUGGCAGACGGGUGAGUAGCGCGUGGGAAUCUACCUAGUUCUACGGAACAACAGUUGGAAACGACUGCUAAUACCGUAUACGCCCUACGGGGGAAAGAUUUAUCGGAAUUAGAUGAGCCCGCGUAAGAUUAGCUAGUUGGUGGGGUAAUGGCCUACCAAGGCGACGAUCUUUAGCUGGUCUGAGAGGAUGAUCAGCCACACUGGGACUGAGACACGGCCCAGACUCCUACGGGAGGCAGCAGUGGGGAAUAUUGGACAAUGGGCGCAAGCCUGAUCCAGCCAUGCCGCGUGAGUGAUGAAGGCCUUAGGGUUGUAAAGCUCUUUCACCGAUGAAGAUAAUGACGGUAGUCGGAGAAGAAGCCCCGGCUAACUUCGUGCCAGCCGCCGCCGUAACAC